GAAGAAGCUUGCUUCUUCUGAUUUAGCGGCGGACGGGUGAGUAACACGUGGGCAACCUGCCCUGUAGAUUGGGAUAACUCCGGGAAACCGGGGCUAAUACCGAAUAAUCCAUUUCCUCACAUGGGGAGAUGUUAAAAGACGGCAUCUCGCUGUCACUACAGGAUGGGCCCGCGGCGCAUUAGCUAGUUGGUGAGGUAACGGCUCACCAAGGCGACGAUGCGUAGCCGACCUGAGAGGGUGAUCGGCCACACUGGGACUGAGACACGGCCCAGACUCCUACGGGAGGCAGCAGUAGGGAAUCUUCCACAAUGGACGAAAGUCUGACGGAGCAACGCCGCGUGAGUGAUGAAGGUUUUCGGAUCGUAAAACUCUGUUGUUAGGGAAGAACAAGUACCGUUCGAAUAGGGCGGCACCUUGACGGUACCUAACCAGAAAGCCACGGCUAACUACGUGCCAGCAGCCGCGGUAAUACGUAGGUGGCAAGCGUUGUCCGGAAUUAUUGGGCGUAAAGCGCGCGCAGGCGGUUUCUUAAGUCUGAUGUGAAAGCCCCCGGCUCAACCGGGGAGGGUCAUUGGAAACUGGGGAACUUGAGUGCAGAAGAGGAUAGUGGAAUUCCAAGUGUAGCGGUGAAAAUGCGUAGAGAUUUGGAGGAACACCAGUGGCGAAGGCGACUAUCUGGUCUGUAACUGACAC
rnacentral:rRNA from 1 species